rnacentral:lncRNA from 1 species
CUGCCACGAAGGCUUGAGAAACGCUGAGAGCUUCCUUUCCACUCUGACUGACGACUGCACGGAAACCGGUAUCAUCUCAAGACUUUCUGAAGCGUGGGAUGAUCCUGGACCGCUUAGCAGCACCCAAAAGUGUCUGCCAGACAGGAGUCCCAGUAACUCAGGGCUGGGUGUCACCUUUAACAAGGCGGCAGCUGCUGAUGCAAGUGGCCGGCUGAGUUGUAUCCCAGGGAAUCUCCAGGACCAUCCUUGCUGUUCAGUGCCUCCGUCCACGUUGGCCUUUUGUGCCUAUUCGCACCCGGGGCGUUCCCAGGGACCUGCCACUUUGUCUGACAAUGGUCCAUGCAGCCGUCGUGGCCUACCUCAGCCAGUGCUGUCCAGCACUUGGCUUUCAGCCAGUAAUGAGCCUCGAGAACUAACUUCAAGUCUGACUACAACACAGCGCCUUCCUGGGGAUGAAGCGUCUGCUUCUCCUUCCUCAGAGACCGACGACAGUUUGACACCACCUGGCCCUGGCUAUGAAGACACAACAGACAGUGGUCACGGUCUAUCUUCCCAGCCAGUGCCUGGCCGGGAUGAAUCCAUUUCAAAGGAGCCUGUGAUCUUCUCUCAACCACAGCGUUGCAGCAUGAGCCAUGCAGCGCGGGCACGGAGAAGUGUCAGUUUCUGUGAGUCCCCUAAAAUGUUCCCCCUCCGUAACAAUGGGAACUGGAAGGAAAGCCCUUCGGGGCCACGCUGCCACCCCAGAGUUAGUGCUGCCAACGGGACUCUGGGCCUGUCCUGGCUCAGUGACGUCCUCGAUCUCGAAAUGUUAGGAAAGGUGAAUGGCCAGGAAGGAUUGGAUGUCACAUCCCCAGACCACGUGUACCUGUUCUGUCGGGCCAACUCCACAGCCAUCUGUGACUUGGAAAAGACAGUGAUGGAGCCAACGUGCCUGGCCAGAACACACGAAAAUUCAGACUCUCCCUUCGCCGCUGGACAGGCGCUUAGCAGAAGCUCCGAGAGCAGCAGUAGCCAAUAUACCAGCUGUGACAGCGACGGUUACGUUAGCGCCGCAGACGCUUCUGACCACAGUGAGCCGAAGAAAGGCUUGGAAGGGAACGAGGGCUGUACGCAGUGCCGCAGCUCUUCUCUGUGUGCCGGGGACGGAAGUGCUGAUUCCAACAGCGCUGGCAGCACA